rnacentral:rRNA from 1 species
CUUCGCCUACGGGACGCAGCAGUGAGGAAUAUUGGUCAAUGGGAGAGAUCCUGAACCAGCCAAGCCGCGUGAGGGAAGACGGCCCUAUGGGUUGUAAACCUCUUUUGUCGGAGAACAAAACCCGGGACGUGUCCCGGACUGCGUGUAUCCGAAGAAAAAGCAUCGGCUAACUACGUGCCAGCAGCCGCGGUAAUACGUAGGUGGCGAGCGUUGUCCGGAAUUACUGGGUGUAAAGGGAGUGUAGGCGGGAAAGCAAGUCAGAAGUGAAAACUAUGGGCUUAACCCAUAGCCUGCUUUUGAAACUG